GGGCUUCUUCUAUAAGCAGCUUGGGUUUUAUGCGUGUCUGUAUGUUUGCGGAUGUGUGUAUGUCUGAGUGUGUGUGUGUGUGUGUGGAUGUAAGUGCUGGACUUGGUGCAAAUAAAUGAAAACCGGUGUUCCUCGAAGCUCAUCUUUGGUGUGUUGGACGGAGUCGAAGUUAAGCGCAAGAGCUCCGAAACCAAGAGAAACGGUCAAUAAGGUUGGUGUAUGAAUGAUUGAGUGCGAGCAGAUGACUGAGGUGCUGAGGGAUCAGGAGCACUAGAGUGGAGGCAGCCCCAGCUGUCCUGUGUGGAAGAAAGAGGGAGGACUGAAAGAAAAGGUGCAGCAGGGCCGUCUGCCCCCCUGCAUCGCACAGGAGUGCAGCCAUGGAGCGAGUGCUCUUGUGCCUGUCUCUGUUGGUGCUGCCCAUUGCAACUAUGCUGUGCCCAAAGCGUUGCACCUGUCAGAAUCUCCUACCUUCCUACACGGUCCUGUGUGCCAAGACUGGCCUGCUCUUUGUGCCACCCAACAUCGACCGGCAGACAGCCGAGCUUCGGCUCAUGGACAACUUCAUCACCACACUCCGGCACCGCGACUUCGCCAAUAUGAGUAGCCUCAUCCAUCUGACUCUGUCUCGCAACACCAUCAGCCUCAUCCUGCCCUAUGCCUUUGCCGACCUGCAGGAGCUCCACGCGCUGCACCUUGAUGCCAACCGGCUCACCGCGCUGGACGACACACAUCUGCAAGGUCUGGUCAACCUGCGCCACCUAAUCCUUGCCAAUAACCAGCUGCAACAUAUUUCCCACGGAGCCUUCCAAGACUUCCUAGAGACUCUCGAGGAUCUGGAUCUGUCCUAUAACAAUCUGAUAAACGUCCCAUGGGACACCAUAGCUCUCCUUGUUAGCGUCAAUACACUUAGCUUGGAUCACAACCUCAUCGAGUUUGUGCCUGAGGGCAUUUUUUCCAACCUGCACAAGCUAGCAAGGCUGGAUAUGACCUCCAACAAGCUGAAGAAGAUUCCCCCGGACCCGCUGUUUCUGCGCAUACCAGUUUAUGCAAAAACAAAGGGCUCACCACUAACUGCACUGGUGCUAAGCUUUGGUGGAAACCCACUGCACUGCAACUGUGAGUUGGUGUGGCUGAGGCGACUGACACGGGAGGACGACCUUGAGACAUGCGCCUCUCCCAAAGAACUAGCUGGGAAGUACUUUUGGACCAUCCGUGAGGAGGAGUUUGUGUGCGAGCCACCCAUGAUCACACGCCACACUUCUAAGAUGUUUGUAAUGGAAGGUCAAGAGGUGAGCUUGAGGUGCAGGUCUGUGGGAGAUCCUGAACCUACAACACACUGGGUGAGUCCAGAUGGCAAGCUGAUUGCAAACACCUCUAGAACAACUGCCUAUGAGAACGGCUCUCUGGACAUCCUUACAGCCACUGUGAAAGAUUCGGGUGUGUUUACCUGUAUAGCGUCCAAUGCGGCUGGAGAGGCCACGGCCCCUGUAGAACUUGUGGUGAACCCCUCACCACAUUACGACCCUAAACUCGAACCAGAACCAGGACCCUCAGAUAUGCCCACCUCCAUCAAGUCAAACAGCAGUGGGGGGCAGACACGAGUGGAACAACGGGUUAGUGUGACCGAGAUAACAGCCACAUCAGUAACCAUCCGCUGGCCUUCACAAAGCCAUAUCCCUGGGGUUCGCAUGUACCAGAUCCAAUACAACAGCUCCACGGACGAGAUCCUCAUUUACAGGAUGAUUCCAGCCUCAUACAAGCUGUUUCAGUUGAGUGACCUGGCCUCUGCACGGGACUACGAUCUCUGUGUCUUGGCCGUUUAUGAUGAUGGAGUCACUGCCCUCACAGCUACACGCCUCGUCGGCUGCGUGUCAUUCAGCACUGAGCGUGAGUACCACCACUGCCGCUCGCUCCAUGACCAAUUCCUGGGUGGCACCAUGAUCAUCGUCAUUGGAGGCAUCAUCGUGGCCUCUGUGCUCGUCUUCAUCUUCAUCCUGCUAAUGAAGUACAAGCUUCACAGCCAGCACUACAAGCAAAAGGCAGAGCAUGUCAGCAACGUGUGUUCACAGACCAACGGCGGCCAGCAAGGAGCGGCGUCUAACCCUCCACCACCCCGCUCGUCCUCUUCCUCCGCUUCGGCAAGUAAACCAUCCAUCCUUCUCAGUCAGGAGAGGCCAGAGAGUUAUGGUGCUCAGGAGGGAGGCUAUGGGGCACUCAAAGGCACCACAGUGGUGGACUUAAAUCCAGAAUAUGGCAAGUCAUUCAAAGAAGAAGACUCAGUAUCGCAAUAACACAGGGUCAAAUCCCACCCCUUCACCCUCUCCUCCUCCUUCCCAUCUUCUGUUGUUUUUUUGUUUUUUUUUUCUGGUGCUGGGGUGUCUCUGCCUUACAGAGGAUUUCCUCAUGUCCAAGGCAGUGCCUUGUUUGGCUCAUGCCCUAGAACCAUGUUUCAAUUACAUGUAAGUGCUACUUUACCUUAUUGCUUAUUAAUUGUUUCCUCUGAUUAAUCCAAACAUUGUAUUAAUUGACAGUACGCCUUCCUCCUUACGUGAAUGAGCAUUAGAUGAUGUGUUCAUCUUUUUCAUUUUUUGUUUCCCCUCUGAGUGCAUCUGGAGUGUGUUAGAGCUCUUCUUCCAUCAGCAAAUGCCAGCAUCAUGGCCUCCUCAGCACCAGAACCUACAGCUGUCGACAUCACACAUGUUUGGAGCCAAUAUGGCCUUCAGGUCAGGUGCCAACUUUUCAUUUUCUGUCAGCACUUCUCUGGCACACAGUUUGACAGCAGUGUUCUAAAUAUGAUAUUUUGACUCUGAAUGAAUGCAUGACGGUAGUCCUGUGCAGUGACAUGAUGCUGAUGUGGAACUGCAAGUAAUAAUUAUAACUAGACCAGGCAAACAUACUUUGUAUCAAACUAUAGCCUGCCAAUAGGACAUUGGAGACGUUGUUCAUAUCACCACAGCAACAAGUGAUGCGUCAGUUUGAAAAUUGCUGGCCAAUACCAACAUCAGCCACUCAUUUCAAAUAUACUGUAUAUAUAGACUGAUAUUGUUGUUGAUAGUUUAGUGGUUCUAGUUUUGUCAAAUUUGUCUACACUUACAUGUGUUUACACCACACCCACACAAUGCUAAUAAUUUGUUUUUCAUGACAAUUCAUCAGAUGUGUCCAACUCAAGGUGCAUAUCGUACCAUUCUACCCUACAGCCACCUUAAUAUACAUACUCUACCAUAGUAUUUAA